rnacentral:lncRNA from 1 species
AGUUUGAUGGAUUUAUGUCACGCUAAUUUAUUGAAUAGUUUCCUAAUAUUAUACUAUAAGUCUAAAUCACCGACUGUUUCUAGUGCAAGUGAUAAAGAGCUUAACAGUUACUAUCCGAAAUCUUAAGUUCGAAUUUUAGUUGAUUUACAUUUUCAGAUAAGUUUUUUUCUAAAAUAAAUAAACAAAACAGAUAGCAUACUACUUUUCUCUAAUAAAAAAAAAAAGU